rnacentral:rRNA from 1 species
GUGAACCUGCGGAAGGAUCAUUAUUGAAUACUGCUCGAUGGGUUGUAGCUGGCUUUUUGGAGCAUGUGCACACCUGUCUUGAUACUAUUCAUCCACCUGUGAAUCAUUUGUAGUCUCUGAGGGCUGAGAUCGGCAGUUGACCCAUCAGUUGAAAAACUGGAUCAGAGGAUUGUGAGCAUAAAAGUGCAACUCUCUUCAGCAACUGACCAGUGAUCUCCCUUUGAUUCUAUGUUUCAUAAACUAUAUUGUAUGUUAAAGAAUGUAAUCAAUAGGCCUUUGUGUCUAUAGAACCUUAUACAACUUUCAGCAACGGAUCUCUUGGCUCUCGCAUCGAUGAAGAACGCAGCGAAAUGCGAUAAGUAAUGUGAAUUGCAGAAUUCAGUGAAUCAUCGAAUCUUUGAACGCACCUUGCGCUCCUUGGUAUUCCGAGGAGCAUGCCUGUUUGAGUGUCAGUAAAUUCUCAAUCCCAUCUAGCUUUUGCAGUUGGGACUUGGAUAGUGGAGGUAUUUGCAGGCCCUCGUCGAGGUGUCAGCUCCUCUGAAAUGCAUUAGCGGAACUGUUUGUGAUCCAUGACAUGUGUGAUAAUUAUCUACAUCCAGUGGGUUGCUCUCUGAAUGUUCAGCUGCUAACAGUCUCCUCUGUGGGACAAUUUCUGAACCUUUGACCUCAAAUCAGGUAGGACUACCCG